AGAAAAACCAGAGCACCCAUACAAAAACCGAGACAUAAGGAGAAGAUGCAGACUCCACUCAGGCAGUGAUCAGGUGUUUUGUGGGUUGACCACCAAGAGAUGAAGCCACUGGCCAAUCACCACCAGGAACUGCCCUCUGCCUUAUAUAUCUGGAGGGUCUUUUACUGCUCCUGGUGGCUCAUUUCAAAUGUGGAUCUGACAAAGUGAUGAGCCAGUUGGUGGGCUUCAGUGAGCUGAUUCUGUUUCCUGCAUUGAAGGCCAAUAGUCAGGCUGUGCCCUU